GAUCAUGGCUCAGAUUGAACGCUGGCGGAACGCUUUACACAUGCAAGUCGAACGGUAACGUGGGGAGGGGCUUGCUUCUCUCCGGCGACGAGUGGCGAACGGGUGAGUAAUACAUCGGAACGUGUCCUGUUGUGGGGGACAACCGGUCGAAAGACCGGCUAAUACCGCAUAAGACCUGAGGGUGAAAGCGGGGGAUCGCAAGACCUCGCGCAAUUGGAGCGGCCGAUGCCCGAUUAGCUAGUUGGUGGGGUAAGAG
rnacentral:rRNA from 1 species